rnacentral:tRNA from 1 species
GGGAAUAGCUCAGUGCUAAAGCCCUUUUCUAGCAUGCAAGAGGUCCUGGGUUUGAUCCUCAGCCCCA